rnacentral:rRNA from 1 species
CAUGUAGGCGGGCUAUUAAGUCUGGUGUGAAAGCCCGGGGCUCAACCCCGGAAGUGCAUUGGAUACUGGUAGUCUUGAGUAUGGGAGAGGAAAGUGGAAUUCCGAGUGUAGGAGUGAAAUCCGUAGAUAUUCGGAGGAACACCAGUGGCGAAGGCGGCUUUCUGGACCAAUACUGACGCUGAGAUGCGAAAGCGUGGGGAGCGAACAGGAUUAGAUACCCUGGUAGUCC